ACCUGACUGGCUCAGUCAGUAGAGCAUGCAACUCUUUAUCUCAGGGCUGUGAGUUCAAGACCCAUGUUGGGUA
rnacentral:tRNA from 1 species